UUUACCUAUUCCCACAUAUACGCAUGAGUUUCUAUCUAUAACUUUUCUUUCUUACUUUAAACAUCGUCUUUCAUUUUGAAGUUUUUCUUACUUCUUCUUCUAUAAUUGGUCGUCCUUAAAAUUGUUUGUCCUCAAUAUAUAUGUAUUGUAUAAACACACACAGUGGAAAUGUGGAGUGUAAAGCAAAGUUUUUUCGACGGAAAAGAAGUUUUAUCACAACAAAGCAAAUUGCAUAUCAUGAGGUUGGUAUUUGAUGUAUAUAUAUGGUGUGGGGACCACUAACUGAUUGAGGGAGGUUUUGGGUUUAGAGCAACUUCCAGGAAGUUUCGUCUUCUGACACACUGACACUUUCGGCAGAACAAAACGGCCACCAGAUUUUCAUCUACUUGUUUGCAUCGAUUGGGGUUGGUUCGGUGCUUGUGGUGAUGCUGGAAUUUUAGAUAUGUCAUCAUCAUGAAUGUUAUUGAUUUAUAUUUGUUCCUUGUUUUUUAUGAAUAUUUUGAAUAUGAUAAAUUUGAUUUUGGACGGUAUGCACGAUUUGGCUACUACUUUUAUUAAUUAAAAAAGCAUAAUGAUGUUUGACUA